GCGUUCUAGACAAAUGUAUAUAGUCUUAUUGAUAUAGAAUUAAAUUAAAUUGUGGAUGUUACUCGAUUGAACAUUUUCUAUAAAUUCGGACAUACACGACCUCCACAAUCGUUUUAAUCGGCUGUCGUAAAAGAGCAGCGAUCGCAUUUCGUAAUAAUUCUCGCAUAAGUCAAGUGGACAGUAUACGAAUGAUCGCUGAGGUGUUCGCUCCUUUCCGUAACGAAUUCGCAACCAAAUAUACACGAGAAUUUUUUAACCGAAGGUCUGACAAUAUAGUCAAUAACUUUCACGCCCCGAGGCAGUUCACUGGGGAGAACAGGAGCCGCGCUAGAAGGAAAUUCCAUUUUAUAAGAACUGUAUUAGUGUUCUAUCAGUUUAACCCUCGAAAUAAAAUUUUCGUUACAGGUGAAACAUAACCAAACGCAUUUCGCCGUCAACAUAUGUACCAUCCGACAGUGUUUAGAAAAAGAUUGAUACCGAAAGAAAAGCUCAUCACAUUUAUCCAAUACACAUGAGAAAACGGAAGUGUAGCGAGAGUAAUGAUAAAUCAGUUCGGACUCAAAAUUUUUUUCAUUUCCCGCGGAGCAGUUCUGUCCAACUUCGAGGUUGAUAUUGUCUCUGUCCGUAAUAUUAUUGCGUUCGCAGCCGAUCUAGAGGAAAUUAUAGCAGGACUCCUAUCAGCUGUGGACGACGCAUUUCUGCCAGUGGACCGCCGGGAGUUUCUGCGAGGCUGACCGGUAGUAGAGUUGGAUUUCUCGGCGAGGUGGUUGACCUUGAGAGACAUAGCUAAGCCUGACAAUGAACAACGUUCUUUGUUCUCGAAGUAUAAAAUCGGAAAAAGUAUUUUACUUACAAAAUCGAUAGUACGACGAGUACAAAGUUGAAAGAUGUCUCAAACUGAUCCGCAUAAAUUCAUGAACAACACGAAACUAACGUCGAUGAACUACGGCACAGUAAAACCUAUAAAAAACGCGACUAAAGACCCGUCACCGGGUGGGCUUGAACUAUUUUUAUUAUCAAAUAAUUGUUUCAAUUUCUCAAUGUGGCACAAAUAAUUUUACAUUAGAGCCUACCAACCUUUCGGUUAACAGCCGAACGCUCUAACCGAUUGC
rnacentral:lncRNA from 1 species